UAGUCAAACCAUGGAUCCAGAGAAACAAGUCAAUAAGUCAAAUCAAGAUGUGCAUGUGUGGCGAAUGAAUGUGUAUGGUGAUGAUGGUGAAAAUGGUGAAAACAAUGGUGAAAGUCUAAUUCUACUUUUGCUCUUUUGAGGGGAUACAUACCUUUCUUGCACUUUGAAGCUUUUUGAGGGGGAAUGAGAUGCUCUUUAUUUUCUUUUUCUUUUCUCUCAGGUGGGUAUCUUGUACCCCUAAUUCUACUGUCGGACACUUGUCCAUUUUUACCUCUCGUCUCACUUUUUCUUUUCUUCGAGGUUCCGGGCACUUGCCCCUUUUUAUUUCCUCGUAUUAAUUUUUUUUUUCAGAGCACUCACCCUCUUGAAAUAAUGUAGCAAGUGGUAGUAACCAAAAUAUCUCGAGCAUUUAUUUCAUAGGGAAUAACAGGGAUAGGAUAAUGUUUUUGGCUAUUCUCUCCUAGAUAGGAGUAGAAUAAUUUUAGGUGAAUCUGAAGAUGGAAAUGAGUGGAUGUAUGUGGAUGCGUACUUCUGGAGUAGAAGCAGCAUGUAUGAGUGAACGUGCAAGUGAAUCUUGAUUUUAUCCGCAUGACAAGCUCCUAAGGGUCUACACAGCUUGACCACACUCAAUGCUCAUAAGCAGUAAAAAGUAAAUGUAUGGUUCAUAGUCUAAUAAGCAUGUAUAUAUGCCUGUGGUAGGAUUUUAAACUCUCAUCAUACAGGAACUCAUCAUGCAACAUUUUAAAGAUUUUCAAAGAUGAAAUUAUCCAGAAUUCUAGCAUCUCUAGGAACAGAUAAAUAGCAGCUCAACCUUCCCAUAUCGUAUCCGUUAACAACUUAGACUUUAGAUCAAGUACUCUUCCCACAAGUUCAGGUUUAGAGCAAAUCUUAAUUCAUAAUAGUCAUGCCUAAACUUGAGAGAGAAUUCAAAUUUGAGAACUAGUCAUGGCAGAGCAACUAUUCAUCAUUUCUAUGUGAGAGCUUAUCAUGAGGGUUCAUAGCAAACUUCAUUUAUUUAUUUAUUUAGCAAAAUAAGCAAAGAGAUAUAUAUAUAUAAGCACAAAAUCUUUAUUUGGGUUUUUAUGAUUAUGCAUCUUUUUAUUAUUUGAGUAAAGUAUAAACGCAAGUAGAAACACUUAGCUAGAUAAAUGGGGGUGCUUUCCCCCAAGCUGGAUUUUGACGUAAUUUCUUCUGAUGUAGCUAGCAGGUGGUGGAGGUGUAUUUGAAUGUCGGCAGCACCCUGACAGCGAUUAUGAUGUCCACCGUCUGCUAGUCUUCUUUGAUCCUUAAAUUCUGUGAGCUCAAAUAGACAACAAAGCUUUGUGGAACUGGUUAAGUGUUAGCAUAAAAAUAUCUUUGCCUUUAUCAUGUUGAGCUUCCUCUAAAUAUUACUCUCUUUGGUAGGAUCAUAAAUUUAUUUUUAUAUUUUCAUUUCUAUAGUACAGGAAUAUAUUUAUUUUAUUUUUACGCCACCACAGUGAAUGUACUUAUGGGUUUUAUGCCACGAGCAUACUCACUUGGGGCUUACUGUUUUUUACAUUUUUAUUUUCUUUUCAAGAUAGCAUAAUUAACUAACAAGCUAUUUAAGGGAAGUAAAUAAUUUAAGGGAAAUGAUAAAUAUGGAUAACUACCGAUUUUACCUUUCGGCGAGGGUUCAAUGUUUUAAGUCUUCUAAACAAGACUUCUCACCGUGUUCAUUCUUCAAGUGCAUCAUUUGAUUUAGGUGCGGACCUUGACGUCUGCACCUCUUGAUACGGUGCCACCCAUGUUCUUCGUUUGCCCAGCAGUUCGAAGUGCGGCGUUGGCAGUAUCUUGCUCAAUGUGUUUGUGCUCGUAGAUCCACGUCCUUCACUUGGUAGAGUCUUGGAGUUGAAAAAUCCUCCAUGUUUCUCAAAAUGUGUCCUGCUCAUAGAGACAAGGCAGAGAUCAAGUGCAUGGGCCCUGUUGAUGGAAAACACCAACAGAACCAAAAGUGUAUUUGUUCUUCUCUAUCCUUAAGCAUAGGGAGAAAGACAAAGUUGAUGGGUGAUAAAUUCAUGAGUGUAGCACUUAUAACAUUUGUUAGAUCAGAUCGCUCAACCUUAUGGAAAGAUAAUCUAUCUAUGUAUGUCUUUUUUUUAUAUCUCCCAAAGAUUGAAUGUGCAACAUUUUAGCUCAUAUGAUUAGGAGUGUGGGAUCAUGGAGGUAGUACUAGGAACAAAGAUUAAAGGACUAAACAUGCUGAAUGAGUUGGGUUGGUUAAUUUGGAGUUAUAAAUCAUACAUGUUUGUCUCUUUAUUUAUGUGAACGCUAGAACCAAGAAGAAGCUUAUAAAAGUGAUAGUCACAUAUCUUAAGAUGUUACCUUAAUUGAAGAGUGAUGGUAUAGUAUUACCUUGUGGAAGCUUUCCUUUCUUAGCAGUUGUGCAUCGUGUUUGUGGCACCCUCCAUGGAUCAUCUCUUAUGAGCUAUGUCUUCCUUGUGUAAAUUGUUAAACUUCAUGUGUCUCUCUCUUUGUCUCCAAUGUGAGUUUAUCUCAUGACUUCCCAGGUCGAUAUUGAAAGUUUUCCUACAUGGGUUAGUCCAACAAAAUAUCCAAUAUCUACACAAGUAGUUUUUAGUUCAAUAACCGAACUAGACUCCAUGUCUAAUCAGAUUAAGGAAGGCUGUUUAACCUAAGCACCAUGCUUAAUUUAAAAGCCAAUAGAAGUAUGUGUAGUACUUCCAAACUAACACUUACUAGGAUAAACAAAGGUAGCGUGAUGACAUUUACAGAGAUCUACUCAAGUGGAGAUGAAGUAGUGUGAUUAGUAUUUAACAAAUUGAGCAUGUCUCAAAGGUAGGGACAACCAACAUAGCAACAUGGCAAGGAUGUUUUUAUGUAAAGUACUCCCCCAAGCUUGAAUUUUGCAAAAUUCAAGUUUGGAUUUAAUUCAAUGUUGUAUGAUGAUCGGUUGGACAUACCUUGUGCUUGUCAAUCAUCCGAUCUUCUUGCUCCAAUCCUAGAAAGGUUAGUGACAGGAAUACCCGAAGGAAUAUUUUUACAAUUAUCCUUAUAUGCUCAAUACACAAGGUAAUGUUGCAAAUAAUUAAAAGCUCAUGUUACGACCUGAUCAGUGCUUGUUUCAGGACACUAAGCUUGUCCUUGGGAAACCAUCAAUUUAUGUCGGCGAAGUGGUUUCCCUUCCAAUCGUUGACCUAUAUCAAGAUCAACUCAAUGAGAUCUGCAAUAUUUAUUAUAGACAUAUGCAUCGACAACCGCCUUUUUAAAGUUUUUAUAAAUAGAAAGGAAGAGGGGGUUGGAGAUCUGAAAUGUGGUGAUGUUGGAGAGACCAAUAGAUUGGUAAGAUGUUGCAUAUGAGCAUGGAGUGAACGAAGUGGCUAUGAAAUAAAUUCCAUGCUUAUUAAUGUUAUCUUCGUCUCCAAUCUGAAUGUUCGGAGUUUCUCCUAGAUUGGUCUCACCUAUGUCCUCUUCGGUAGUUGGAUGCAUCUCAUCUUCAAAGGGAGUCAAGAACUCACCAUUUGAAAUUGAGCCAAAGUCAGAAUCCAUUAAGGCUUCUUCCUUAUCCAUCCGUUCUACACAUUCU
rnacentral:lncRNA from 1 species